rnacentral:pre_miRNA from 1 species
AAGGCAAUUGCUGGUUUGUAUGUUGAUAUAUGUUUAACUUCAAAAGAAAUUUCCAAUCUCUUUUCCAGAGUGGGUGUACCAUUUUAUAUUCCUAUCAUGAAU